rnacentral:rRNA from 1 species
CCUACGGGAGGCAGCAGUGGGGAAUUUUGGACAAUGGGCGCAAGCCUGAUCCAGCCAUGCCGCGUGUGGGAAGAAGGCCUUCGGGUUGUAAACCACUUUUGUCAGGGAAGAAACGGUCUGAACUAAUACUUUGGACUAAUGACGGUACCUGAAGAAUAAGCACCGGCUAACUACGUGCCAGCAGCCGCGGUAAUACGUAGGGUGCAAGCGUUAAUCGGAAUUACUGGGCGUAAAGCGUGCGCAGGCGGCUUUGCAAGACAGAUGUGAAAUCCCCGGGCUCAACCUGGGAACUGCAUUUGUGACUGCAUGGCUAGAGUACGGUAGAGGGGGAUGGAAUUCCGCGUGUAGCAGUGAAAUGCGUAGAUAUGCGGAGGAACACCGAUGGCGAAGGCAAUCCCCUGGACCUGUACUGACGCUCAUGCACGAAAGCGUGGGGAGCAAACAGGAUUAGAUACCCUGGUAGUCCACGCCCUAAACGAUGUCAACUGGUUGUUGGGAGGGUUUCUUCUCAGUAACGAAGCUAACGCGUGAAGUUGACCGCCUGGGGAGUACGGCCGCAAGGUUGAAACUCAAAUGAAUUGACGGCUGAGAGNGCGAGCGACGACGAGGGAGGAGG